CCUACGGGAGGCAGCAGUGAGGAAUAUUGGUCAAUGGGCGAGAGCCUGAACCAGCCAAGUCGCGUGAGGGAGUACUGCCCUAUGGGUUGUAAACCUCUUUUGUCGGGGAGCAAAAGCCGGACGUGUCCGGCUGUGAGAGUACCCGAAGAAAAAGCAUCGGCUAACUCCGUACCAGCAGCCGCGGUAAUACGGAGGAUGCGAGCGUUAUCCGGAUUUAUUGGGGUUAAAGGGUGCGCAGGCGGAUUUUUAAGUCAGCGGUCAAAUCGUGGGGCUCAACCCCAUCCAGCCGUUGAAACUGGGGAUCUAGAGUGUGCGAGAGGUAUGCGGAAUGCGUGGUGUAGCGGUGAAAUGCAUAGAUAUCACGCAGAACCCCGAUUGCGAAGGCAGCAUACCGGUGCACAACUGACGCUCAGGCACGAAAGCGUGGGUAUCGAACAGGAUUAGAUACCCGGGUAGUC
rnacentral:rRNA from 1 species